GGACCCGCACAAGUAGUGGAGCAUGUGGUUUAAUUCGAAGAUACGCGCAGAACCUUACCAACACUUGACAUGUUCGUCGCGACUCUAAGAGAUUAGAGUUUUCGGUUCGGCCGGACGAAACACAGGUGCUGCAUGGCUGUCGUCAGCUCGUGUCGUGAGAUGUUGGGUUAAGUCCCGCAACGAGCGCAACCCUCACUUUUAGUUGCCAUCAUUAAGUUGGGCACUCUGAAAGAACUGCCAGUGAUAAGCUGGAGGAAGGUGGGGAUGACGUCAAGUCCUCAUGGCCCUUACGUGUUGGGCUACACACGUGCUACAAUGGUAUCUACAACAGGAAGCAAGACGGCGACGUCAAGCAAAUCCUUAAAAGAUACCUCAGUUCGGAUUGCACUCUGCAACUCGAGUGCAUGAAGCUGGAAUUACUAGUAAUCCC
rnacentral:rRNA from 1 species